UCGGGUUGUUCGGCGUCGCGUCGCGCUCCGUCUGGCCACCGGCGGGGUUCUUGGUCAGGAGGACGGAUGCAUCACACCCCUGCAUUGCAGUAACAGGAAGGAAUUUCUUUCAGAAAAAAGAAAAAAAAAAGGGAGUACAUAUUAUGGAAUGAGGGAGUACUGAAGAAGCUUACAACUAUAUAUUCAAAUCAACAGGUAAAUUGAUGACACCCGGUUUAACUAAUAUAGCUAUGUGUACAUGUCUACGUCUUUAUUGUAAUCCAAACAAACAAAUUAAUAUGUUUUUAGUAAUGCUCAGUUUAACUAACAUGCUUAUUGUUUUAUUGUGUGAGGUCGACUAGAAUUUUUUGAGGCAUUAUUACUAGAAGAUUCAUUUCACCUCUAUCCUACUCGAUCUUCUACUAGAAAAUUUAUAAAAUAUUUUUCCAACUUUUUAAUAGCUAAUUUAUUUGUUUAUAACCUUAAAUAGCUGUAAAAAACAAAUAAUCAAUCGAUUUUAGCUCUUAUUAAGGACAACAUACCAACCCCUUCCUCCACCUCCUAGCUUAUUUCUGGUUUCAGCGAGAAGCUCCUCCAACCUGAUUUGUGACUCCGUCCAUGUUUCGCAUCGUUAGAUCCAAUGUCACGUCCCUUCUUCCACCUCCUAGUGACAUAGUCAACUACAUUACUCCUCUACAUACACGUGCUGUAAACUCCGGCCAUUAACCUCCUAUUGUGUCAUAUAUAUGUUGCCUAGCUCUACAUAGACUAAAGUACAUCUUAAGUUGUAGUCUAUACCACAUUUUCUCAACUUCUUCUGUCUCCUCAUUUUCGGUGCAUAUACUUUCUACUUUCUAGACUGCUCAACGGUUUUCGCAAAAACUUUUCUCUAUAGAAAAGUUGCUUAAAAAUCAUAUUAAUUUAUUUUUUAAGUUUGUUUAUGUAAAUAUUUAAUUAAUCAUGCGCUAUUUCGCCGCUCUAUUUUGUGUGCCGAGAGGGAGCAUUCCUGUCGCCAAACGAACACAUCCUUAUUAUACUCUUGAAGACUUGAACUAAAUCACACCUUAUUGUUCCAUCAAAAUAUGAUAUUCAACGAGUUAAAUACCAUUUUUGAUACUAUCAAACUAAGGAGUACAUAUUUACGACUGCCAGUGUCAAGCAGUACUGGAUGUUAAUACGACACCUGAAAAAAUGAAGGAUCAAUGGGGAUUGAGGAAACGAAAGGAACAUACUGAGAUUCGCCAAAUGGGAGCCUGGGAGGCUUUUUGUUUGUCACCCAUUGCAAGCAGGGUAUAUGCGGUUCCCUUGAAAGAAAGAAAGCUGCUUUGAUUCUGUAACUAUAUACACUUAUGCUUUCUGAUUUUGGUAGCUUUUCUUUUAUGGCUUUUUACUUUGUUCCCUUUGUCUUCAGAGACAACUCUACCUUUUUUUGGUUUUCAUUAAGCAUGACCAGGGUCUCUUUAAUUGUUCUUUAAUGUCUUCAUUUUUAGACACAUGUUUGAGCAUUAUCUUUUUCAAAAGUAUAUCGAUAGAUUUUGUUAAAUAUACAAUGGAAUCAAAGUUCUUUUUUUUUGCGUGUAGUUCUUAAUUUAAUUUGGUGUGAUGACAAAUAUAUCUUUUCUAUGGAAAAUCUAAAUACUAGUACUUGAAUAUUUGCUGGUGGUCUUAGUCUUAAAUUAAUAGCUUAAUUCAUGCAUUCUGGGGACGAAAAGUAAAUGAAAAAAAUCAAUACUGCUGGUAGAUCGCUUGAGGGAUGCAUGGUUGAAAAGAGGUAAUUAAGCUCAAGUUAGCAACGGAGAAGCAUAAAAAUAAGCUAGCCAAGGCCCAAGGCAGACAUGAUAUUAAUUAGUAAAACUAAUUGAAAAGCAACACAAACGACAAUUACAGAUUUAGAGAGAGAUGUCAAAAGCCCCCUACAAGUCCAUUUUCACCGUGCAUAUAUUGAUCCUCACACAUGUAAGGAUUCAUGGAAACUAACUUGCAAAGAACUAUUUUGAAAAAUUGUUGAGUUCUUUUCCAAUUUAAGUAUUUUUAUGAGCUAUGCAUAGAUGGAGCAUAGACCUGAAUAAGUUUAGUUGGGUAGAUGUUUACUCGAUCCAGUUUCUAAUAAUGUGGCAAAUAUGCAGAUCGCCAACAUAUUAGAAAAUUCAAAUCUUCAGGAUUAAUUUGUGAAAAGUAGAUAAACUAAUCAUCAUUAACAAAAUAAGUGUUUUAUUUUGGUUCCCCAACUGGGAAAAUCUGGGCUAGCUGUUCUCAAGUGUUUAGUUAAACAUUGUCUUAAGAAAAAAGUUAAGCACAUCAAACAUAAGUCGAUUAUUUCCCGUUUGCAAGCCAGACAUUUUGCAGGCAUAUACGUAUAUGCAUGUGCUUCUAUAAACAUUAUACAAACAGAUAUUCAUGGAGAUGGUGGUCAAUAAUUUCUGCAUUAUACUACUAUAUGCACUAGCUGGGUUUCAGUAGUAGGUAC